GAAAUGUCCCAGCUUGUGAAGACCAGAUUGUGCACUAACUGAGUUGAGUUCAUUAUGAAGAUUCUCCUUAGUGUACUCUCUGUGGUAUUCACAACACAUUAUGUGAACUCUCAGAUGUCCUUUGUGGAGUCUGGUCCCAGCAUUGUGAAGCCAGCACAGUCUCUGGAUGUAACAUGUACAGUGAAAGGAGCCUCUCUCACUGACAGCAGCAAGUAUUACAGUGUGGAAUGGGUACGACAGUUUCCUGGAAAGGGCCUGGAGUGGAUGGGUCGCAUCAUCCAUAAUGGGGAUUUAUAUUAUGCUCAGUCAUUGAAAGGAAGAAUAACAAUAACGAGAGAAAUCAGUAAAGGAGAAGUUUAUUUAAAACUCAACAAUGUGAAUGUAGAUGACUCUGGGAAAUAUCACUGUGCAAGAGACACAGUGCAACAGAGCUGUGUACUCCUACUACAAUAA